rnacentral:rRNA from 1 species
GGAGUUAUGCCGGGCAUGAUUUAUUUGAGAUACUGAAUCUGUGAAAGCUCUAAGGGAAACUGGGAUUGGAUACCCCACUAUUUUUAGUAGUAAAUCAACUUAAGUUUACCGGAGUACUACGAAUCAAAAAGUUUAAAACUCAAAGGGCUUGGCGGUGUUUUAGACCUCUCAGGGGAACCUGUCUCGUAAUCGACAAUCCACGUUAAACCUGACCCUUUAUAGCAAUCAGCUUGUAUACCGUCGUCGUCAGGUAACUUCUUAAAAUAUAGUAGUUAGCUUGAUAAUUCUGUUAGUUAAUACGUCAGAUCAAGGUGCAGCUAAUAAAAGGGAGAGGAUGGGUUACAAUUAUAUAUUCAUAAUGACGGAAAAUGUUAGGAAGUAAAUAAUUAUGAAGGAGGACUUGAAAGUAAUUUUAGUUAUAUAAACAAAAUGAAUAGGGCUCUGAAACGUG